UUUUGGAGUUGGAUUGAGCAGGUUGAGGUGCUGGAGACAAGCCAAAAUAGUGGCUAUCAACUUUUCUACUAGAUAUCUUUUGCAACCGCAUCAAUAAAAAAUAAAGCGCAGAUGUGCAUGCCACAUUGAAGAUGUGUUUUUUUCACAGAAGCGGAAUUGUUGUCACAAAAGCGGUAAAUAUUUUGCAGGUGUGCUUUGUCAGGUCAAUUUAAUGAAUCCUUUAUUAGAUAAAACUAAAUCCCUUUUUCUCCCAACCCCAAACGCCUCUCCUAUUGCACCAUUGCACAACCACUGGCACAUCACCAUCCAGGGGAACCAGAUGCGGCCUCGCACCUGCGAUGAAUCUUCCUCAUAUGUGAAGUUUAAAUAGUGAAAUGUCGCAGAAGGGAUUCGUUUUUCGCUGAAGCGAUGCUGCACCUGCGCUAGUUUUUUCACAGUACUUUGAGCUGUGAAAAUGGAUUCUAGCAUGAAUGAAGUUGUGGCUGAUGGCACGAAAUUGAAUAGAAGGCUAUGUUGGAGCAGUAUGAUACUUUAGAUUAAUGUCCGUUGAUUGUCAUCGCUGAGUUGUGCCAGCGGGCAAAUGUGGAUGUGCAUGGAACUGAUCAUUAGAUACUUGCAUCCGUUGAGAGUAGAAGGAGAGGGUAGUUCUUUGAAGAGCUAGAAAAAAUAGGCAGAGUUACAUGAGAAAUUAGAAGUUGUUGUUAACAGGCUUGAGACAACAUAUGGGAAUAUGUCCAAGGCACAUGUCUCUCUUCAGGCAGAUUUCAAAGCAGAGAAAAAGAAACACAAGAACAAGAGCAAUUUCAUGGUCAAAAUAUAGAGAGGCAUCAAUGCAAUCUUUAAAUGGGGGCAACCGAAUAAGAAGGUACCGAUUGAGGACGAGGAUGACAGUGAGGAGUAUUCUUUCGUAUUGGAUGAUGAUGAUGAUCAUGAUGCUGGUGAUGAUGGGGCUCAGAGUUCUACACAUCAGUGAUGAGGAAGCACAAUUAGAGGUAAUUACGAAAUUCAGGGUGCUUCAAUGUUUGAAACUAAAGGUCAAUAAGGAUUAUGUGGUUUAAAAAAAGUGAAUUACAAAAAAGAAAGAAAAAUGUUGGUAUAGGAUGUUGUAACUUGCAUCCCAAAUGCUUAUCCUAUCCUUCCCUAAGCCUACAUUACAAGUUUAAAUAAUCCUUAUGUGAUCCAACCAAAUGGUAUUAUAUUUGUUAGCACUAGAACUUUUUCGUUGAGAGUGAGACUUUGUGCAAAUAUUCCUUGUGUUGUUGUUGUGAAUAUGGUGAAUUUGGAACUUUCUUUA